UCAUUUUUCUACCUUUCCUGUAAUUCGCCGUGUGCUGCCGUGGCUCGCAGGAGACCAGGACUCACUGCAGAGGUUCUGCGUCCUGGAGAUGGCGCUCUGCUCAGAACAGCUCUUCCUCAGCUCCUCCCUGAGCUUCUUCAUUUCUUUCUCCAUUUCUUGGAUUUGCUGAAAAGUUUCAACCACAGCGAAGUCAGUUUCCCUUGGGCACAGCUGGCUCUGGGAAGGCAGGGGUCCUUGGAGCCCCUUUCACCUAGCUGGCAGAGAGAAGAGCUGUCUGGGCCUGAGAAGAGCAGGCCCCCUUCUUGCAUUCAGGGUGUGGUGCUUCCCAAGAAAUGGAAGAACUCGGCCGGAGAUGUAUGUGUGAGGGGACCCUGCUGUAUAAGGAGCAAACAUUAUAUUUUAGUUUUCUUUCUUCUUUCUUCUUCUUCCUCUUCUGCUCCUCCUCCCCUCUUCUUCCUCUUCCUCUUAUUAUUAUUGGUUUUUUUGAGACAAGUUCUCUCUAUGUUGUACCGGCUGCCCUUGAAAUCACUAUGUAGCCCAUGCUGGCCUUGAACUCCUGGGAGUCCUCCUGCCUCAGCCUCCCGAGCGCUGGGAUUACAGGUGUGCACCACCACACCUGGCUCAAACCGUUUAAUAAAGGCUGUAUUUUUGUUGUGCUUAUGAUUGCCUUUGGUAUGAGGAAAUGAUGACUUGGGUUUGUUUUUAUGAUUUGGUGUGACACUGAUGCCUGUGAGCCGAAGUCCUUCCAGGAGAAGUUUGUGUCCACAGCAGUGCCUAUGGCUCUGCUCACACAGAAGGCUCAGGAUCCCAGGACCAGGGCAGGAAGCAGGGUGAAUUCUGAGCAGCGUGUGGAGGUCAAGUGGCCAGCUCCAGUCUCCAUC